CAAGGGGAAACCGGUGCUAAUACCGGAUAAUUUUUCACCUCGCGUGGGGUGAAGCUGAAAAUCGGUUUCGGCUGACACUUACAGAUGGGCCCGCGGCGCAUUAGCUAGUUGGUGAGGUAACGGCUCACCAANGCGACGAUGCGUAGCCGACCUGAGAGGGUGAUCGGAGCACACUUUNAACUGAGACACGGCCCAGACUCCUACGGGAGGCAGCAGUAUGGAAUCUUCCGCAAUGGACUAAAGUCUGACGGAGCAACGCCGCGUGAGUGAUGAAGGCCUUAGAGGUCGUAAAACUCUGUUGUUUAGGNNAGAACAAGUACCGGAGUAACUGCC
rnacentral:rRNA from 1 species